UGUAACCCUUGCCUAAAUAUACUACUCUGAGCCAUAAAAUCUGACUUGAGCGUCGGAGGGCCUCUGCCGGGGCACCCCCGGUAGGCCCCUGACCAUUCUUUCUUAUUUUACAGGUCCUUUCACCAGAUAGAACAUGGAGAGACCCAUCAGGGAGCCCAACAAGAAAGGACCCAGAGGAAAACCAGAUCUAUCAUGGACCAGGAAGAGUAAAAUAUUUAUCAAA
rnacentral:lncRNA from 1 species